rnacentral:misc_RNA from 1 species
ACAAAGUUUUACCUUAUGCAGGUAACGUAAAUAACAACAAACGAGUACGUGCGUGAUCGACCGUCAAGUCAACUUUACCAACGCAAUCGCUUUUAUCUCUUCUGGUCAAGUAUGGCAGACCACCAGCACAGCGAGGAACAGAUAGAAACUUGGCGGGAGGCGUUCGACAUCUUUGACAAGAACAAGGACGGACACAUAAGUCUGCGCGAACUGGACACAGUGGUGCGCAGUAUGGGACUGAACCCCUCCAUGAAAGACCUCCGCUCGUUUAUCAAAGAGGUCGACCAGAACAGAGAUGGAAAAAUACAAUUUGAAGACUUCAAAAUUUUGAUGUCUAAAUUUUACGUUAAUAAUUCACCCGAGGAACAGCAAAAAGACAUUGAGGGAGCCUUCAAGAUUUUUGAUAAAAAUGGAAACGGAGUGAUAGAGAAAGCGGAGCUGCUGCGAAUCGCCACCACUUAGGUGAGCCCCUGACUGAAGAGGAGGCGGAACAGAUGAUGAAGAUAGCGGACUCCAACAAAGACGGUCUGAUUGAUUACAAAGAAUUCUCAAAGUUCAUUACACGACCAGUCCUAAAUAGCACCAUGGGACAGUGAUUUCAGAAGCGGAGAGAACUACCCUCAUUCGGUGUUCGAUGCGGCAGCAGCAGAAACAAUUUCAUUUCUGCAAAAGAAUAUUUUCAUGAUGUUUAUUGAUAUUAAGCAUUUUAAUUUAUUAGCAAUUCUACACGGAAUUUUCUCAUUGAAGUCAUUCUGGUAUUCCCCCCUCCCAGAAUUUUGUGCAGAUCUGAUCAAUUAAAUAUUAUACCGUAUCGUUUAUAAUCAAAGGAGCAACAGAUCUUUCAGAAAUAUCGCGUUGUUUUUUGAUAAAACACCAAUGAUAUGUUUCCACAAACGGGUUUGAAAUAUAGGCGAAUGUGAAUGUUUCUUGAAUUUGCUUACCCGGUAAUUUAUAUAACGGAGAUAUGGAGGUCCCAUGGAGUCUUUAUAAAACAUGUAUAUGCUAUAGCUGUGUACUUUAAUCUUUUCUUUGCCUGUUCGUGUCUUGUCCACUUUUGUUAGACCGAUAAAUUCAAAAUUAUGCAAGUUGGCCAUGCAGUAGUGCACGCAACAUUUAUAUAAGAUAGAUGCCGUCACCUGAUGGUGACUUAUAUGUAUAGUGCCUGUUUUUAUUGAUACUGUUAUACCUUGCUUUUGUGAAGUUUUUUAAGGCUCUUUGUUAUGUACUGAUUACAUUACUAACAUAUAACGUAGAAUAUUUAGAUAUUUGUGUAUACUUAGGCUCCUAAUGUUUUGUUAUGAGAUAUUUAAUUACGCAUUGCAUUAAGAUAUCAAAGCGUC